rnacentral:rRNA from 1 species
GGCUCAGGAUGAACGCUAGCGGCAGGCCUAAUACAUGCAAGUCGAGCGGCAAGUUGAGAAGCAAUUCGAGACCUAGAGCGGCGUACGGGUGCGUAACGCGUAUGCAACCUACCUCAUACAGGGGGAUAGCCCGGAGAAAUCUGGAUUAAUACCCCAUGGUACAGCACGAGGGCAUCUGAGUGUUGUUAAAGAUUCAUCGGUAUGAGAUGGGCAUGCGUCUGAUUAGCUAGUUGGCGGUGUAACGGACCACCAAGGCGACGAUCAGUAGGGGUUCUGAGAGGAAGGUCCCCCACACUGGCACUGAGAUACGGGCCAGACUCCUACGGGAGGCAGCAGUAGGGAAUAUUGGGCAAUGGUCGGAAGACUGACCCAGCCAUGCCGCGUGCAGGAAGACGGCGUUCUGCGUUGUAAACUGCUUUUAUCUGGGAAGAAAAGGCCCAUGCGUGGGACAUUGCCGGUACCAGAUGAAUAAGCACCGGCUAACUCCGUGCCAGCAGCCGCGGUAAUACGGAGGGUGCAAGCGUUGUCCGGAUUUAUUGGGUUUAAAGGGUGCGUAGGCGGCUAUUUAAGUCAGCGGUGAAAGACUCCGGCUUAACCGGAGCAGUGCCAUUGAUACUGGAUAGCUUGAGUGUUGGAGGGGUACAUGGAAUUGAUGGUGUAGCGGUGAAAUGCAUAGAUACCAUCAGGAACACCGAUAGCGAAGGCAUUGUACUGGCCAACAACUGACGCUGAGGCACGAAAGUGUGGGGAUCGAACAGGAUUAGAUACCCUGGUAGUCCACACUGUAAACGAUGAUUACUCGCUGUUAUGCUGUAUAGUGUAGCGGCCAAGCGAAAGCGUUAAGUAAUCCACCUGGGGAGUACGCCGGCAACGGUGAAACUCAAAG